rnacentral:lncRNA from 1 species
GCAAUUAGAAACUAGUUCCAACAAAACCUUAGCCGUCUCCUUAAGUAAGUCUCGAGAGUAUUCAUAGUAGUUAUAGUUUGUAGAUUAUGUUUCGAGUGCAGCGAAACAGUCUCAUUGUGGCUGUACCCUUAGAUUCGAAAAUCGCAUUCAAACCGUCUCACAUUACGGGCGAUUUAUUGAGCUAAGAGAAGAUAUCAAAUCUCGACUCCACAUUUUUUGUAUUUUCCUUAACGAUUUCUUAAACGUUUUCUACAUCUAUAAUAUUGUUUCAUUCAAUUUCUAUUUCGUGAAUUUUAAUCAGAAUUUUCACGGUCCUACAAUUUUAAAUAAAUAAAUCCGCUUCUUGCUUAUCGCUUGAAUCGGAUUGAAUAAUGCGAACAAUAUUUCUAUAUAACAAUUUUAUAAAACCUUUUUUAAAAUUGAUCUAAACGAUUUGCGAACGCUCUUUAACUAUUCGCAAAACGUUUUGAUCUAUAAGACGAAUCAUAUCAGAAAAUGAUUUACGCAACAGUCUCUGACAGGUUCGCGAUCUCGUUUUUCUAAAUAUAAAAACAGUCUAUUUUGAUUAAAAUAGCGUUUAAGAAUUUUUUAUUGAAAUGAAUUCUCAAUACUUACUACGGUUUGUGUUCUGUGAAAAGAUUUAAUUAGGACUGACGGUGAUAACAACACGCAAGUCAAUGGGGCAACCGGUGCAACCAGUGACAGUCAAUCAAUUGAAACACUACCAACAACAGCUCCGUCUGUGCCUAGCAACAUAGACGGACUUCAGCCCGACAAGUUUGAUGGAACAAUGAGAUUUGUCUUUCACGCUACCAUUUCUAAACAUGUUAUACUAAUUAAUAUUUCGGGUUAAUCCAAAACGUAGCUUCUAACACAAGUUUGUCUUAGUAGCAGUUACAAUUAUCAGUACCAAUUAUUUGUGGCCGCAGCAGUUACAGUUAUCUGUACCAGUUAUUUGUGGCAGUAACAGUAGGCUGAUACC